rnacentral:rRNA from 1 species
GACGAACGCUGGCGGCGUGCUUAAUACAUGCAAGUCGAGCGGAAGGACGAUGCUUUUGUGGCGUUCACGAUUGCCGCAGAGGGGUGAGUCACAUGUGGAAACCGCACCUAUCAGACUGAGAUAACUUCGGGACACGGUAGCUUAUAGCGGAUAAUCUUCUGAACCGCGUUGUUCGAUAGUAAAAUUCGGUCUUGCUGGAACGUCUCGAUGCAUCCGCGCUGCAUUAGCUAGUUGGUAAGGUAACAGCUUACGAAGGCAACGAUGCAUAGCCGACCUGAGAGGGGGAUCGGCCACACUGGAACUGAGACACGGUCCAGACUCCUACGGGAGGCAGCAGUAGGGAAUCUUCCGCAAUGGGCGAAAGCCUGACGGAGCAACGCCGCGUGAGUGAUGAAGGUCUUCGGAUCGUAAAACUCUGUUAUUAGGGAAGAACAUAUGUGUAAGUAACUGUGCACAUCUUGACGGUACCUAAUCAGAAAGCCACGGCUAACUACGUG